AGUCGACGAUUAAAGCACCUUCGGGUGUGUAUAGAGUGGCGAACGGGUGAGUAACACGUGACCAACCUGCCUCUUACAUUGGGACAACCAAAAGAAAUUCUGGCUAAUACCAAAUACUCCGCACAUAUCACAUGAUGUAUGCGGGAAAGCUUUUGCGGUAAGAGAUGGGGUCGCGGCCCAUUAGGUAGACGGCGGGGUAGAAGCCCACCGUGCCGAUGAUGGGUAGCCGGGUUGAGAGACCGACCGGCCACAUUGGGACUGAGAUACGGCCCAGACUCCUACGGGAGGCAGCAGUGGGGAAUAUUGCGCAAUGGGGGAAACCCUGACGCAGCAACGCCGCGUGCGGGAUGAAGGCCUUCGGGUUGUAAACCGCUUUCAGCAGGGAAGACAUCGACGGUACCUGCAGAAGAAGCCCCGGCUAACUACGUGCCAGCAGCCGCGGUAAUACGUAGGGGGCGAGCGUUAUCCGGAUUCAUUGGGCGUAAAGCGCGCGCAGGCGGUUGCUCAAGCGGAACCUCUAAUCUCGGGGCUUAACCUCCAGCCGGGUUCCGAACUGGACCACUCCAGUGCGGUAGAGGCACAUGGAAUUCCCGGUGUAACGGUGGAAUGCGCACAUAUCGGGAAGAACACCAACGGCGAAGGCAAUCUGCUGGGCCGUCACUGACGCUGAGGCGCGAAAGCUGGCGGAGCGUACAGGAUUAGAUACCCUGGUAGUCCCAGCCGUAAACGAUGAGCGCUGG
rnacentral:rRNA from 1 species